GAUAAAGAAAAGGAGAAUAUCGUUGAUGCCAUGUUUGCAACAGCCUCCAUGGCCGUUGUGCUUAUGGCUGAAUUAGCACUGUCCGGGCCUGAUAAAAUUUCGCAUCGUAUACGCUGGAAUGGUCUGGAGAUUGUGGAGAAGAUGGCACAGAACAAUGAAAAGGUCAUUUUUCUUGUGCCACAUGCCUGGGGAGUGGAUAUUCCCGCAAUGCUGAUGGCUGCGUCGGGCAGAAAAAUGGCAGCGAUGUUUCAUAACCAGAGAAAUCCGGUGGUGGAUUAUGUCUGGAACAGUGUUCGUCGUCGUUUCGGAGGAAAACUGCACGCACGUAAUGACGGUAUUGCCUCCUUUGUCCGCUCAGUCCGGCAGGGAUACUGGGGAUAUUAUCUUCCUGAUCAGGAUCAUGGCCCGGAAUUCAGUGAGUUUGCAGAUUUUUUUGCGACGUAUAAAGCAACUUUACCGGUUAUCGGACGGCUCAGCAGGAUCAGUGGUGCACGGAUAAUACCGCUUUUCCCUGUUUAUGACGGAAAGACCCAUCAUCUGACUAUUCAUGUCAGCCCGCCACUUGCUAUACGACAGAAGAGUGAUGCUCAUAUUGCGCGACAGAUAAACGAAGUGGUUGAAAAUUUCGUUCGUCCACAUCCUGAGCAGUAUACGUGGAUCCUCAAGUUGCUGAAAACGCGUAAAGAAGGGGAAGAGGAUCCUUACUGAGGCAGCUUUUUCAGGAUAAUGAGCUUACCCAGCAAUAGUGGACACACGCUAAGUGAGUAAACUCUCAGUCAGAGGUGGCUCAUAUGACAAAAAAACAGUACCAACCAGUAAAAAACCCCGUAAAUAGCAUUCGCCUGAAUUUCGCAGUGAAGCCCUGAAGCUUGCUGAACGCAUCGGUGUUGCUGUCGCAGCUCGUGUGCUCAGUCUGUAUGAAUCACAGCUUGUAAGCGGCUCGUCAGAACUGUAUUGAUAUUUACUGAGCGGUCAGUUCAACGUAAGCGAGUGUUAUGCGCCAUGGAAGCUUACCCAGGAAUAUGUUAUCAGGCCUCAGCAUGGCGAAGUGUUGCAACGCUGGAAGCAGAAUGACCGCGGUCAACAACUUGUUUUACGUAAGCGUACAGCCUGAACCGUCUGGUCAGAAUCUGACGAAUUAGACAAAGUGGUGUCCACCAAAUAAGUAGUGGGAACCAAAGUAUCAGUAUGCCCCUUUGUUUUUAGUGCUCUUGGUAUACCCAUUGGUACAUUUAGCGCAAUAC
rnacentral:rRNA from 1 species